rnacentral:ncRNA from 1 species
AUAAAAUAAUUAUGUUUUUUAAAAUUUAUUAUAAAUUUAUUUUACAUAUAAAUUUUAGUGUGUAAUUUUAAUUAUUUAAAUAAUAAUUAAUUUAUUUUAGUAGUAAUUAAUAUUAAAAAUUUAAGAAAUUAAGAUUUAGUAAUAUAAAAAUUAAUAACUAAUUUUGUGCCAGCAGUUGCGGUUAAACAAAAGUUAAAUUAAAUUAUUUCAGUAUAUAAUAAAUAAUAAAAUAUUAAAAUAAAUAUUAAAUUAUUAAGUAAAAUUUUAAUUUAAUUAAAUUUUAUUUUAAAUUUAUGAUUUAAUAAAUUUUAACAUAAACUAGGAUUAGAUACCCUAUUAUUAAAAAUUUAAUUUAUAAUACUAAAAUAGUAAAUAAUAAUUUAUUGAAACUUAAAUAACAUGGCGGUAUUUUAGUUCAUUUAGAGGAAUCUGUCUAAUAAUUGAUAAUCCACGAAUAAAUUUACUUAAUUUAUAAUUUUGUAUAUCAUUGUUAAAAAAAUAUUUUUUAGGAAAAAUAAUAUUUAAAAAUUAUAAUAAAAAAUUAAAUCAGAUCAAGAUGCAGAAUAUAAUUAAGAAUAUGAUGGGUUACAUUAAAUAUAUUUAUAUGAAUAAUUUUAUUGUAAUAAAAAUUUGAAGGUGGAUUUAAAUGUAAUUUUAAUUAGUUUAUUAAAAUGAUUAAAAAUUAAAAUAUGUACAUAUUGCCCGUCACUUUCAUUUAAAAAUUGAAAUAAGUCGUAACAAAGUAGAGGUACUGGAAAGUGUUUCUAGAAAGA